GAUGAACGCUGGCGGCGUGCCUAAUACAUGCAAGUCGAGCGAACAGAUAAGGAGCUUGCUCCUUUGACGUUAGCGGCGGACGGGUGAGUAACACGUGGAUAACCUACCUAUAAGACUGGGAUAACUUCGGGAAACCGGAGCUAAUACCGGAUAACAUAUUGAACCGCAUGGUUCAAUAGUGAAAGGCGGCUUUGCUGUCACUUAUAGAUGGAUCCGCGCCGUAUUAGCUAGUUGGUAAGGUAACGGCUUACCAAGGCAACGAUACGUAGCCGACCUGAGAGGGUGAUCGGCCACACUGGAACUGAGACACGGUCCAGACUCCCACGGGAGGCAGCAGUAGGGAAUCUUCCGCAAUGGGCGAAAGCCUGACGGAGCAACGCCGCGUGAGUGAUGAAGGUCUUCGGAUCGUAAAACUCUGUUAUCAGGGAAGAACAAAUGUGUAAGUAACUGUGCACAUCUUGACGGUACCUGAUCAGAAAGCCACGGCUAACUACGUG
rnacentral:rRNA from 1 species